UAUUGGACAAUGGGCGCAAGCCUGAUCCAGCAACGCCGCGUGGAGGACGAAGGUCUUCGGAUUGUAAACUCCUGUCAGGCGGGACGAAGGGUUGGGGGCAAAUAGUUCCUGAUCUUGACGGUACUGCCAGAGGAAGCCCCGGCUAACUCCGUGCCAGCAGCCGCGGUAAUACGGAGGGGGCGAGCGUUAUUCGGAAUCAUUGGGCGUAAAGGGCGCGUAGGCGGCCCGGUAAGUCAAAGGUGAAAUCCCUCGGCUCAACUGAGGAACUGCCUUUGAAACUGCCGGGCUUGAGGCCGGGAGGGGGUGGCGGAAUUCCCAGUGUAGCGGUGAAAUGCGUAGAUAUUGGGAGGAACACCAGUGGCGAAGGCGGCCACCUGGACCGGUACUGACGCUGAUGCGCGAAAGCGUGGGGAGCAAACAGG
rnacentral:rRNA from 1 species